ACGCUCGACACCUACGGAGGCAGCAGUUGGGAAUAUUGGACAAUGGAGGAAACUCUGAUCCAGUGACGCCGCGUGAAGGAAGAAGGUCUUCGGAUUGUAAACUUAUUUUGUCAGGGAAGAAAAAUGACUGUACCUGAAGAAAAGCACCGGCUAACUACGUGCCAGCAGCCGCGUAAUCUGAGCGGGNUGGCAAGGC
rnacentral:rRNA from 1 species